AUGGCGCUAACGACGAUGUGGUGCUUCCUCGCUCGAGUUCUUCGGCUUGGAGAUGAGGAAGAGCUUUGGGGAGCAUCUAGACACAAUGAUGCAACGAGAGGUGGGCGAUGGGCUUCGCCUAAGCACUACGAGAAUAUGACCGAGGGUGUAAUCUAUGGAGGGAGGUGCCGCACACGGCUAACAGAAGUUGAUGUUGAUUUGCACAGGCUAUCAUUGGCAGCACGAGUCAACAUGCCAAGAUACCUCCAAACGUGUGAACGCAGACAACAUCACAUACAUGCUCCGCCGGAUCGUCCACGCACCAAGCAGGAAGAGACUGUUGUUCACCCACUCCCUGGGGUGCCACGCCCACCCCCACGCCCACCUCAGGCCGUUAAAGAUGUAGCCGGCAAGGUUUAUCCGAACGCCCCAGAAGAUCCUAGUAGUGCACACCCAACUCCUGAUCAGGGUUCAUCUAGCACACUUGAACCUGUAUUUCACAUCUUUGAAGAUCCUCGACACCGGCUUGUUGAUCCACCGGGUCGACCUCCACUUCCAGCCGUUAAAAGUGCAGCCGGCAAGGCUUAUCUGGACGCCCCCGAAGAUCCCACCACACACCCAGCUCCUAAUACUGGUUCAUGUAACGCAUCUGAACCUGUAUCUGCUGGCAUCUUCGAAGAUCCUCGACACCCAGUUCCUGAUCCAUCAGCUAGGGGGCGUAGCGCCAUGACCGACGGCGACGAGCCUGCGCAGUGCACCGAGGAGCAUCCUAAGUACCCAGUUCCCGACAGUUCAACUGACGAGGGCCCUGUUGAGGAACAUCCUGCUUACGCUACUCCUGGUUACGGUUCAUGUAGCACACCUAAGCCUGUGCCUGAGAAACCUCCCUCCGGCACCUACGAAGAUGUUAAGCAGCGGGAUGUUGAUCCACCACGCCCCGCGCGCGAAGGCGUUGGACACCAAGUUCCUGAUCCGCCAGGUAGGGGGAGUAGCGCUUUGCCCGAGGCCAGAGCAGUGCACCCAGGGCCCUCCGAAAUACCCAGCCCUGGGCAGUUCCAAGUGACGACAUCCUUCAGACUGAAGUCAUAG
rnacentral:rRNA from 1 species